rnacentral:lncRNA from 1 species
ACGAGACUUGGAGCGGCGGUGCGACGGGGAGGCGUGUCGGGCGUCGGCGGGUGCCCCUCGCCUCGCAGAUUUUAGCGCCAGCGAUGCAGGCUCCUUGUGCGUCCUAAUUGGAAGAAGCCACGCUCUCGAGUUUUAGGAAGGGACUGAGAGUCUUAUUUGCGUUCCCAUUGUUUGUGGCUCACCUAAGGAGACCCUGGAGCAGGGAACUCUUGCUUGUUCCAGUCCAACAUGGCUUACAGAGUGAGAUCCUGUCUCAAAAAACAAGAGAAGGCUGAAAAGAUAGCACCUGCUGCUCUUCCAGAGGACCCAGUCGCAGGACAUCUACGCUUCUUACAAUUUCCUCAUAUGAAAUGCAUCACGAUCCUCUCAGUCAAGGAAAAUGUCAGGCUUCCUCAUCAGCCCCAGCCUCUAGACAUCUUGCCCAAUCUGUAGAGUUAGUCUUCUCUCCACCAGCAUUCCUCUUUAACAUUCUUUUUUAUCAGUCCGGCACGUGAGACUUUAAUGGCUCUAUCGCAGCUUUCUCUUCUUCAGUCAGUAGAGUUAGCUAGAAAAACAAAUAACAAAAUGUUUAUUUCAAAACCUUCAAAGGUUGUUAAAUGAGUUAAAUUUUGCUUCAUUGCACAAAUUUUUCCAUAAUCGUAUACUACAUAUUUAGUCUUGAAACAUGAAAGGCAAGGGAAAACAAUAGCCAUC